rnacentral:rRNA from 1 species
AUUGAACGCUGGCGGCAGGCCUAACACAUGCAAGUCGAGCGGAUGAAGGGAGCUUGCUCCUGGAUUCAGCGGCGGACGGGUGAGUAAUGCCUAGGAAUCUGCCUGGUAGUGGGGGAUAACGUCCGGAAACGGGCGCUAAUACCGCAUACGUCCUGAGGGAGAAAGGGGGGGAUCUUCGGACCUCACGCUAUCAGAUGAGCCUAGGUCGGAUUAGCUAGUUGGUGGGGUAAAGGCCUACCAAGGCGACGAUCCGUAACUGGUCUGAGAGGAUGAUCAGUCACACUGGAACUGAGACACGGUCCAGACUCCUACGGGAGGCAGCAGUGGGGAAUAUUGGACAAUGGGCGAAAGCCUGAUCCAGCCAUGCCGCGUGUGUGAAGAGGGUCCUCGGAUUGUAAAGCACUUUAAGUUGGGAGGAAGGGCAGUAAGUUAAUACCUUGCUGUUUUGACGUUACCAACAGAAUAAGCACCGGCUAACUUCGUG